CAGGACCCAAAGGUAGCGUGCCCUCACCUUAAUGUUGCUGAAGAUGGACCGAUGAAUGCUGCUGAGAGUGCUACUGCUCGGGGUGCUACUGCUCGGGGUGCUACUGCUCGGGGUGCUGCUGUGCUCAGUGAUUGAACACUAGCUUCAAAAUGGACAUAUCCUGACUUGGAGGUUAUUUUGUGGGUUCGAGAGUGUCCAUCUGGCACAGGUGACUGAUGGUGAGGGGAGUUUCAUCACCAAAGAAGAGGACCACCAGCAAGGGGAUGACUAAGAACUGCUUGGACAGUGCAGAGGCGAGAGAACCAAUGACAUCCCAGGUUGCUAUCUUGAUUCUCAGUGGAUUGGAUUUAAGUGUGGCAGAGUUGCACCAAAUUCUCAGCUUCACUCACUCUUCAAGUCUUCAAGAAGUCCAGUGACAGGACAAAAGUCACAAUGGCUGGCAAUGGAAGCAAAUGCGGUGGAUGGCCUCGGCAUCUGUGAUAUAUGACCAAGCUCUAAGCCCUCCACAGGGCCUGCUUUAGCCACCUUCAUGGCCACUGGAACAAAGUAUUCUCAACCACCCAUUCCUCCAGGGAAAGUCUUCAUAUUUGUGGAGCAGACACUCCCAAACUUACGGACAGGAUUGAGCCCUGUGGGCUACCCUUAACAUGGUCUAGCCUGUCUGCCAAGAUGGUUUUGCCAGGGUUGUGGCUGCUGGUCAUGCUUUAGCUUCUUGCAGUCACAAGUGAGAGCUGGGUCAGAGGUGAACCCCAAAGAAGCCCUCCCACCAGAGAUACCGGUCCUCCCUAGACACCCCAUACACCUCUCUACCUCUGUGAAGACUUAGACAUUUGCCUAGACUAGAACACUGAGAAGGUAUAUGAUUUGAUGGGUCACUCAGCACUUUACAUGGGCAGGACAUGAACUCAGAUCUUGAUUGAGGCUAAUUAUCUACUAUAUUGAGCUCCCUUUCUCAUAGGGGGAAAAAUAAAAAGGAGAAUCAGGGCCCAGAGAGGGUGUUUUGGUUUGAGAAGUCACAGAUUUGGUGAGGGGAGCCAUAGCAAAGUUGAAGAUGAGCCUUUUCCACUAGCAAUGGCAGGAUCAACUUGAGGAUGCUUUCUAUGACACUUAAACUUUUCAAAAUGUUUUCCUCGCUAUCACUUUGUAAGGUAAUUAGUGUAAAUAUUCUUGUCCUCCUUUUAUGGAAAAGAAAACAUAAAAUGGCUUAGCUUGGGCCAUACAAGGAUGCUAUUUUGAGGCCAGGACACAAUCCCAGGUUUUCUGGUUGCACAUAAUGCUUCUUCUAAUUACCUUGUUUCCAGAUACUGCCCCUUCCUCCCCCGCCAUCCCCAACAUCAGUCCAUCAAUCAGUUUUCACAGAGGCAGAGGGCAGUAGUAGUCUGAGAGCUACCGUCUAAGUCAGAAAGACCUGAAUUAAAGUCCUGCAUUUGAAACACACUGAUUGUGUGGCCUUGGUUAAGUCACUUAAUUUUUCAAAUGUCCCUCCAAACAAUAAUUUAGAGGGAUUUGGUAGAGGGAGUUUCUUCCUAAGGAAUUCUGGUACUAACGAAAUCAGAGCCUGACAUCACUGUAAUCAGAGUUGCUAUGAUAUAGAAUGUUUAAGUCUGUAAACUACUUCCCAUACAGGAUGUCCCAAAACCUUUAGGGUAUUUUAAGCUCGAAAAACUGUCCUAUGAUCCCAAGAGAUUUAUGAGAAAGAAUGCUGUCCACAUUGAGAGAAAGAACUGUGGGAGUAGACAUGCAGAAGAAAAACAUGAUGGAUUGCUUGUUUAUGUAGGUAAAGGAUUUGGGGUUUGGGUUUUAAAAGACUAUUGCAAAAAUGAAUAAUAUGGAAACAGGUAUUUAGUGAUAAUAUAUGUAUAACCCAGUGGAAUUGCUUGUCAGCUGUGGGAGGGAGGAGGGAGGAGGGGAGGGAGACAACAAGAAUCAUGUAACCAUGGAAAAAUACUUUUAAAUAAAGAAAGAAAGGGGGGGAAAUUAUCCUAAGACUUAGGAAUAGCUGCUGGGUGGCACAGUGGAGAGGCAUGGGCUGGGAGUCAGGAAGAUUCAUCUUCCUAAAUUCAAAUUUGGCUUCAGACACUUACUAUUUUUGUGACCCUGGGCAAGUCUCGUAACCCUGUUUGCCUCAGUUUCUUCAUUUGUAAAGUGAGCUGGAGAAGGAAAUGCAAAUCACUCCAGUAUCUUUGCCAAGAAAACCUCAAAUGGGAUCACAGAAAGUUGGACAUAAAUGAAAUGACUUAAGAACAACACACACACACACACACACACACACACACACACACACACACACACACCUUAUUAAAGCUAAUAGGACCAGCUGAAGUCAGGCUUGGAGAGAGGAGGUGCUGGGUUCAAAUUUUACUUCAGACAUGUCCUAGGUGUGUGACCCUGGAAAAGUCACUUAAUGCUAGUUUCUUGCCUUAGAACCAAUACUUAGUAUCCACCCUAAGACAGAAAGUAAAGGUUAAAUUUUAAGCUGAUUAAGCCUUAAAAUGCCCUAAGACUUUUAGGACAGCCUGUAUACAAUUUAAUUUGAACUCCUUCCAACAACUCCAUAGGAGUCCAUAGAAGACAGACUUCUACAUUUCCCAGUUGAAGAAACUGAGGGGAAAUAAGUUGUCCAUGAUCAGUAAAUGUCAGGGUCACACAGCUGGGAAGUGUCUGAGGCCAGAUUUGAACCCAGGACCUCCUGUCUCUAGGCCUGGCUCUCAAUCCACUGAGCCAUCCAGCUGCACCCCACCCACAUUUGUUUUAAAAGGACAUGAAGGCUUGCUUUCUUAAUCAGUAGCAAAGUGCUCCAUUAUGGUUAUAUUGCCUUUUCAGUUUCCUUUGUUAAUCCUGGAGUUAGUUUAAUGGCAUCCACUUCCAGAGUGGACCAGCCAGUGGGGUUUCCCACAUAUGAAAGUAGAAUGAAAACAUUUUUAGCCCUUAUCUUUUGUCUUAGAAGCAGUACUAAGUAUCCGUUCCAAGGAAGAACAGUGGGAUCUGUGGCUUGUCCAGACACAGCUAGGAAGGGUCUGAGGCUACAUUUGAAGCCUUCUUCAGCCUCGUAUUCUAUCUACUGAGCCAUUGCACUGCCCUGAAAACAGUUUAAUGUAUGGGACAGAGAUUAGUUUAGACAAUGGACAAUGGAAUUCCACAGGGUGCAAUCUAAGCCAGCAGCUAGCAUCAGCUUCUUCUAUGCCAUGGGUUUCUUCACUCUCUUGUGCCACAUACUCUUCUAUCCAUCUGGGAAAGCCUACGGACUCCUCCGAAUAAUGAAUUUUAUUCUGGUUUGGAGCUUUUUGGUUUUGUUGUUUUGAGACUGUGUCUCCCCAUCUGGCCCAGACUGGACUUCUGAUCUGAAUGGGAGUUUUGACCUGCCUGGCUUCUGACCUGAGUUGAUAUGCUCUUCCUUAGACCCCUCACUCCCUGGAGUCUGCCAUAUUGGUACUGGUCUUGAUAUAGACAUCCGGUGGGGUUUUAGCCCUGCUGUACCUCAGAACUGCCAAGCUCACGUGACCCACCAGCCUGGUCCACCCCAAGAACAAAGAGCACAGAUGUGCACCACCACACCUGGCCUGAAUAAAGUUGAAAAAUGCAUAAAGUAAAAUACUCAGGAUGACAAAGGAAACAAAUUAUAUCCAGAUAAAAAUAUAGUUUUUGAAAGUUUAUACACUCCUAUGUUAAGAACCCUAGCUAUAGAUAGAAAGCCAGGCCUAAAGAUGGGCAGGUCCUAGAUUUGAAUGCGGUCUCGGACACGUCCUAGCUGUGUGACCCUGGGCAAGUCACUUAAUUCCCAUUGCCUAGCCCUUAUCCCUUUUUUGCCUUGGAACCAAUAUAUGUCUAUAAAUUCUAAAAUGGGAGACAAGGGUUAAAAAAAAAAGAACCUCUAUCCACAUGAGAGACAAGAAUGUUUGAUUUUACCUCUUUCUGCUCCCCCAAUGUCUGCUGUGUUUCUCAGAGCUGACCUAAGCUGAUUAUAUGUAAACAGGAUGAAGAGGGUACACAAGGAAUUAUUGUUGAAGUGCACUGUGGAGUAUGCGUGUGUGUCCCUGUAUGAGAGAGAAGUUGGUGAGAUGGGAGUUGGGUUUCCUUGGGCGAUGGCUGAUGGAAACUCGAUAAUGCUUUGGUAAACACUGGAAUAAAAUGGGCAGCAGUGUAUUUCAGGAAAGCCUAGAAAGGUUUGAUUGCUAAAAGCAGCCAGGCUUUAAGACAUAUAGAGUAUGUUAUGGGAUAAUCUGUUCAGCUGGAGGAUCUGUGAAGGAUCUUGGCUACAGUCAGACUGCGUUGAGAUCUCCCUCUUUUAUGCAGUCUUUCUUCCCAGGUUCUCAGGGGCCACUAUUUAUGGGACAGCUGCUAGAGAAGGUCCUCACCGUUGCAAUGCUGCCUCUCGUGUUUAAAACAAAUG